rnacentral:rRNA from 1 species
GACGAACGCUGGCGGCGUGCCUAAUACAUGCAAGUCGAACGAAGCUUUCUUUCACCGAAUGCUUGCAUUCACCGAAAGAAGCUUAGUGGCGAACGGGUGAGUAACACGUAGGCAACCUGCCCAAAAGAGGGGGAUAACACUUGGAAACAGGUGCUAAUACCGCAUAACCAUGAACACCGCAUGAUGUUCAUGUAAAAGACGGCUUUUGCUGUCACUUUUGGAUGGGCCUGCGGCGUAUUAACUUGUUGGUGGGGUAACGGCCUACCAAGGUGAUGAUACGUAGCCGAACUGAGAGGUUGAUCGGCCACAUUGGGACUGAGACACGGCCCAAACUCCUACGGGAGGCAGCAGUAGGGAAUCUUCCACAAUGGACGAAAGUCUGAUGGAGCAACGCCGCGUGAAUGAAGAAGGCCUUCGGGUCGUAAAAUUCUGUUGUCAGAGAAGAACGUGCGUGAGAGUAACUGUUCACGUAUUGACGGUAUCUGACCAGAAAGCCACGGCUAACUACGUGCCAGCAGCCGCGGUAAUACGUAGGUGGCGAGCGUUGUCCGGAUUUAUUGGGCGUAAAGGGAACGCAGGCGGUCUUUUAAGUCUGAUGUGAAAGCCUUCGGCUUAACCGAAGUAGUGCAUUGGAAACUGGAAGACUUGAGUGCAGAAGAGGAGAGUGGAACUCCAUGUGUAGCGGUGAAAUGCGUAGAUAUAUGGAAGAACACCAGUGGCGAAAGCGGCUCUCUGGUCUGUAACUGACGCUGAGGUUCGAAAGCGUGGGUAGCAAACAGGAUUAGAUACCCUGGUAGUCCACGCCGUAAACGAU